GACGAACGCUGGCGGCGUGCUUAACACAUGCCAGUCGAACGGUGAAGCGCCUUCCUUUUUGGUGGGUGUGGUUGAGUGGCGAACGGGUGAGUAACACGUGUGUAACCUGCCCCCUUCUUCUGGCUAACCGCAUGAAAGUGUGGCUAAUACGGGAUAUUCUGGGUCUUUCUCAUGAUGGGUCUGGGAAAGAUAUUGUUUCGGUGGGGGAUGGGCUCGCGGCCUAUCAGCUUGUUGUUGGGGUGAUGGCCUACCAAGGCGGUGACGGGUAGACGGCCUGGGAGGGUAGACGGUCAGACUGGGAGUGAGACAAGGCUGGGACUCAGACGGGAGGCAGAAGUGGGGGAUAGGGAGCAAUGGGGGAAAGUCUGAUGCAGCGAAGAGGCGGGAGGAAUGGAGGCCUGCGGGUUGUGAAGCUCUUUCGCCAGUGAAGCAGGCUUGCCACGUUAGUGGGGGGGGUGACGGUAGCUGGAGAAGAAGCGCCGGCUAACUACGUG
rnacentral:rRNA from 1 species